rnacentral:rRNA from 1 species
GACGAACGCUGGCGGCGUGCUUAACACAUGCAAGUCGAACGCUGAAGCUCAGCUUUUGUUGGGUGGAUGAGUGGCGAACGGGUGAGUAACACGUGAGUAACCUGCCCCCUUCUUUGGGAUAACGCCCGGAAACGGGUGCUAAUACUGGAUAUUCACUGGUCUUCGCAUGGGGGUUGGUGGAAAGGGUUUUUCUGGUGGGGGAUGGGCUCGCGGCCUAUCUGCUUGUUGGUGGGGUGAUGGCCUACCAAGGCUUUGACGGGUAGCCGGCAUGAGAGGUCGCCCGGGAACAUUGGGACGGAGAUACGUCCCAGACUACUACGCGGGGCAGCAGUGGGGAAUAUUGCACAAUGGGCGCAAGCCUGAUGCAGCGACGGCGCGUGAGGGAUGGGGACCUUAGGGUUGUGAAACUCUUUCGCUAAUGGUCAAGCCGCAACAAUGGUUGUGGUGAGGGUAGUGGGUAAAGAAGCGCCGGCUAACUACGUG